CUUGAGAGAAAAUAAACGGGAUGGUAUAAUAAAACACAAAAUAGAACAUUUAGAAUAACUUUUUAUUUUUCAGAAGCCCAUAUUCUUUCUACCAGACAUGUUUGAAGACUUCUGUUAACUCAAUAAAAAUGCAGUUUGGUGACCUGAUGUGAAAAGAUGACAUGGAUUAAUUCAUCCAGCAAAAACUUGUUAAGGGAGUUGGUGUCUAGACUGCAGAAGAAGAUGUAUACUGUACUUAGGAAGCUCUCCUUGCCUCUUUGCCAGAAGACUACCACUGGAUCUGACAGUGGUAAAAACUGUCUCCAUAUGCC
rnacentral:lncRNA from 10 species